CCUACAAUGAAAUUUGCGAAGUUUUUUCGGUUUCGGCGCCAUUUUCGAGUGGACUCGGAGUGUUGAGAAAAAACUGUGGAUCCUGGAAUUUUACUGUGGAUUUUACUGGUUUUCUGGAGUGCUCUCCCACUGAAGCAGCAGUCUGGCUCUCCAGAGUGGCUGUGCAGGAGCUGAUGUGCCUGUGUUGAGGUGAGUUGGGAAGGUAAGCUCACGUCCCACCUGCUCCAAAAUACCUGCAGCAUCUGUGUCCCUCUGGGUAAAUGCAGUCCCUCUGACACACAUGUCCCUUCUUGGUACUGCAGGUAAUACCUGGGAGAUGCUCAGGUGAACUCAAAUUACCCUGUUCAGCUGGCAAUUUCUGAUGUAAAGUUGAGUUUACAGAGCACAAACUAAGUUUGAAAGAAGCUGAAGUUGGAGAUGGGAUAAUUCAAGCAUGGAACUUUUUAUUGCAUGAAAUAUUGAUGCAGUCAUGUCAUAAACGUGCAUAUUUUCUCAGAUAUUUGCCUAUCCCAAAUUUCCAGUUACCCAACACUUGGUGUGACUGUUGAUUUCCCCUCUGUGCUAGAGGCUGGUGGAGGUGUAUUGAACCCUUGCUUUAAAAAUCCUCCUUACUGAAAAGAGCUCUUGCCCUUGUUGAACUAGGCAAAAGUCUGGUUUAUAUAAAUAUAAAAAACAUUAAUUAAAAUGUAAACCUCAGGCCACUAUCAAAAUGGAUUCUAAAGCUGAACGUGUUUGCUGUUGCUUUUUUCUUUUGGAUUCAUUUGAAGAGAUGAAAGAAAUAAGAUUGCACAGGUAGAGUCGAGUAAAACAUCGUUGCAGAAGUAAUUAAUGGUAAUAUUUUGUGGGGGGUGUUUUGAUUUAGCUGGUCCAGGCUGAACACUGGGCACGUGUUUGCUUUGCAGCAAGUAGCAGCUGCUCAUGAGGGAGUUGGCCCUGGUGCUGUCAGUGUUGAGGACACUGAAGUGGUGAAAAUAUACUGUUUUUUUGUUGGCAAAUAUUUGAUUUCAAAUUUGAAAUUGCUUGGCAUGAGUCACGAGAGCUUUUGAGAAUCCUAUUUUUAAGUUUGCAGGAGAGGCAGGGACUCGGUGGCGCGUCGGGCACGAGGGGAUGGCACAAGAAUUCAAACCCAGGGCGUCAUUUCUGACAUUGUUCAGGUUUUUUUGUGAUGCUGCUUUUUAAGAAAAUGAAUUGAAGGAAGUUGUCCCAUAACUGGUGGGGCGGGGGGGUUGAAGGUUGAAAGGAAAUACAAAAAAUAUCAGUCUGUCUGCACGGCUCCUGUGCAGCCCAGGCAGGCUGGUGUGUGAGUGCCACUGGCUGCAGCCCCUCCCUGCCCUGCUCUGGUGCUUUCUGCUCUGGUACAGGCAGGAAAUGUGAUGAAGUUCCAGAGAUCUUUAAUUUCUGAUCAUAUAAGGCUUGUCCAUUCACAUGGUAAAUAAGCAUUUUAUACUCGUCUUAAAAAUAAGGAUUUUUUUUAUGUUUCUCAGAAGUCAAAUUGAGCUGAAUGCAAGUAUUUUAAGCAAAAUUUAACAGGUUUCAACUGUUGGAAUAUGGAUUUAUUUAUCUGAAAUGUUAACAUUGUGACUUCUGGAAAAUCCAUAAUGUUCAGCAUCACUUAAGAGGAAAGUACAAGGUAAUAUUUCCCCACAGACCAGUUGGAAGGGCUAUGAAGUUCUGCAGGCUCUUCACAGUAGCAAAAGCAACAGAUCUUCUGGAUCUAAAAGUGUGCUAUUUGUUGGGACUCAAUACUAAGUGUGGUUUGGGGGAAACAGGUAAUUUCUGACCUUGUUUCUGAAAUUGGUUUGUUUGCACUGUAUAACUGCUUGUUCUCUUAUAGUUACAGACUGUCUGAUAGCACCUGUGAAGAAAAAACCCUGUCCUGUGGUGGUAAUGCAUGCAUGUUAAAUGUCUUCAUUGUAGAGCGUUCUUCAGUUCUUUAUAUCAUGGCUUAAAAAAAAUUAUAUAUAUAUAUAUUCAAAAUA